CUUGCCCCUAGAAGUGCUGCAGGUGUAGCUGCUGUGUCACAUGUGGGUCAGAAGGCGGUAGGGAGGAGAGAGGCUAUGUCUAUGCUCAGUGUUCUGACCUGUGAACAUUUGAAUAAUUAAUAGCCUAACAGU